AAGAAAAUUAUGGGGCCUUACGUGAGAGUCCAGUUUGGUAUGCCGUUAUAAAUUCAGCAUCAGACAAUUGAGAGGAACUGAACCUAGAUACAUAGUUUGCCAACAUGUAUCAUGUAGAUACUAUUUUUCUUUAGGUUUUAAUUGGCUAAUUUACAGUUCAUUGAUCCUUCUCUACAUGAACCAUAGAGAUCUUCAGUUAAUUGAGUCCAUUUCAUUCCAAAUCUCUGUAUCCUGAGAUUAGUGUUAAAAAUAAACUAGAUUCCCAAUAAUAAGUUCUCUUUUUAUUAAUAACUUUCUUUUCUUAUUCCCUCCCUGCCCCCAGACACUUGGUAACAAGAUCCUAAGCCAUGUUCGGAGACUCAUUCCUACUACAGUGGCCGUGGCUUGUGCCAGCGAACUGAACUCCUCAACCAUUAUAACAUCCAGAUAAAAAUCUUAAAAAAAAAAAAAAAGCCUUGCUCUGGUCUAAAACUGGACGGACCCCCAAUGGACUGCCAAGUGCGGGGGGGACAGCAGGGCUGCGGCUGCCCUCCACACCCCCUCCCCGGCCUCUUCCAGCACCAGGCGGCUACCGGAGUGUUAACAGUUAUUCCUCCCAUAUCCGUGGAGCAACCCUCAUUUGACUCUCAGCAGGCAAACCCAGAAGGCCCCUGUUCAACAAAUGGGGAAGCUGUUGGACCUCCAGAAGAUGCAAAAACAUACUGUGUUAGUGAGUUGGGGCUAACAUAAGAUGCCACAGACUGAGUGGCUUCAACAACAGACAUUUUCUCACAAUUCUGGAGACUGGGAAGUCUGAAAUCAAGGUGCCUGCCAAUGUGGUUCAUGAUGAGAGCUCUUCCCAGCUUACCACCCUCUCCUGGCAGAAGAAGAAAGCUCCUCUUCUUAUAAGGUACCAGCUCUUCUGGAUUAGAGUCCCACACUUACGACCUCAUAUAACCGCAAUUACCUCUCCACAGGCCCUAUCUGCACGCAUAGUCACAUGGGGAGGAGGGUUAGGGCUUCAACAUAGGAGUCUGGCAAGGGGCACAAUUCAAUCCAAGCUUUCUGGAUUUCUGCUUUAGAAAAUGUAAAAAUAGGGCAGCCCGGGUGGCUCAGCGGUUUAGCACCGCCUUCAGCCCAGGGCCUGGUCCUGGAGUCCCAGGAUCCAGUCCCCCGUCGGGCUCCCUGAAUGGAGCCUACUUCUCCCUCUGCCUCUCUCUCUCUCUCUCUCCCUCAUGAGUAAAUAAAAUCUUUAAAAAAGAAAAUGUAAAAAUAUCUUACAAUAUUAUUAUUGGUAAUAAUUAAAACACUUAUUCAGUGAUUAACAUAAGCCAGACGCUGUGUUAAGUGCUUUUUUAAGUGUUUUCUUAUUUAAUCCUUACAACCAAUGAAAUUAAGUUCAUAAUAGAUGAGAAUCAAAGCCCAGAGAUGCUCAGUCGCUUGUCCAAGAUCAACCUAGCUGGCACAGUGAAGAGUCCAACAGACAGUCCCUGGAGCCACUGCGUUCAAAUGAAACGUAUGACAUACAGGCACGUUACAUACCAGUAAGAAGAGCUGUGCAGGAGGGAGCCUACAACCGGGUAAUGCUGGGAGCCCACGAGGUGCUGUGGGGUGGCCAGGCGAUUGGUGUGAGAUAAGCUGCACCCUCAACACGCUAGUGCGAGGACUGACAGGUCAACUGAGGUUCUACCGGGCAGGCGAGGGAGUCUUGGAUUACACACUAAUCUACAUUCUCACCAGUUGUAUCUGAAUCUGUUGCCCCACAACCUCACCUACCAUUCAUAUUUUUUAAUGAUAAAACCUGGAUUUUCUAUGGAAAUAAGACCUCACCUACAAUUCAAAAUAAAAACGCAAACACUCUUGACAUGUCCCCUUAGCUGUAAGAAGAGUCCUCUACGUAGUCAUCGUGGCCUGAUUCAAUCCUAAACCUUUAUAAAGUGUAAACCCUUGAUAGCAAGUUCACAAGCUUUCAAUACAAACCGGAUUGAACCUAAAAUUUGAUAACGGCCGCUCUGCUAUCUGAUCUGAAAUACUGCAAGAGAACUCCAAGGGAAAAACAAAGUGCGUAAAGGAAAAAUCACACAAAGCACUUACAAACAUUCUCACGGUGUUAGAUAUCCCAAUUCUCCGGAUUGGCACACAUUUUAGGAAGUCAGGUCCUUUAAAAGGAAAACGUUAUGACUAUUAACAGAAAAGCAACUUCAUCCUUCCCUUUUCGAAACACCAUUAAAGUGAAAUGAACGUGUCAAAGUGUUAAGUCCAAGAAGAGAAAAAAAAAUUUUUUUUGUUAAAACAAAAAAAAUGUGUUAUCAUCCUGGAGGCAGGUUGAGUCCUAACGGUUUUUUCCUUUCAGCUCCACGGAAUCCCAAACACCUGCUAUGUGCAAGCUCGUUCGGUAACGACAUUCAGCAAAAACCGAGAACUUGGAAAGAAAACUAAAGACAGAAACUGUGCAUCUUACAAGUCGAUCUCAAAGAGGACUGGGCUUUUUUGGCAGUGGGGACAGCGAGACACCUGUGCCUCACAGCGCCUGCGAGCAAUCACUUCUAGGAGCUUUCCGCCGCCUUUAUUUUAUUAUAUUAUAUUAUAUAUAUUUUUUUUUU
rnacentral:lncRNA from 1 species